AUUUAAAAUACGCUACGUGAAGGUGGAAGCACAGCAACAUGUCCAGGUCGAGACCACAAGGUAUGGACGCGGAGACGGUCUUACCUGUGUAGCAGGGUCGUGACCGAGCCAGACUCCGGACCCCUGUGGCUGACAGUCGGAACACGGCUCGAAACAUGGUACCGCGGUGGGUGCUAACCGU